UACGUAGGGGGCAAGCGUUGUCCGGAUUUAUUGGGCGUAAAGCGCUCGCAGGUGGUUCGUCGCGUCGUGCGUGAAAGACCCCGGCUCAACUGGGGGGGUGUCGUGCGAUACGGGCGGACUGGAGGCCAGUAGGGGGAUGCGGAAUUCCGGGUGUAGUGGUGGAAUGCGUAGAGAUCCGGAGGAACGACCAGCGGCGAAGGCGGCAUCCUGGACUGGUCCGUGA
rnacentral:rRNA from 1 species